rnacentral:rRNA from 1 species
GUGUCAGCAGCCGCGGUAAUACGUAGGGUGCAAGCGUUAAUCGGAAUUACUGGGCGUAAAGCGUGCGCAGGCGGUUUUGUAAGUCUGACGUGAAAGCCCCGGGCUCAACCUGGGAAUUGCGUUGGAGACUGCAAGGCUUGAAUCUGGCAGAGGGGGGUAGAAUUCCACGUGUAGCAGUGAAAUGCGUAGAGAUGUGGAGGAACACCGAUGGCGAAGGCAGCCCCCUGGGUCAAGAUUGACGCUCAUGCACGAAAGCGUGGGGAGCAAACAGGAUUAGAUACCCUGGUAGUCCACGCCCUAAACGAUGUCUACUAGUUGUCGGGUUUUAAUUAACUUGGUAACGCAGCUAACGCGUGAAGUAGACCGCCUGGGGAGUACGGUCGCAAGAUUAAA